UACGAAGGGGGCUAGCGUUGCUCGGAAUCACUGGGCGUAAAGCGCACGUAGGCGGAUUGUUAAGUCAGGGGUGAAAUCCUGGAGCUCAACUCCAGAACUGCCUUUGAUACUGGCGAUCUUGAGUCCGGGAGAGGUGAGUGGAACUGCGAGUGUAGAGGUGAAAUUCGUAGAUAUUAGCAGGAACACCGGUGGCGAAGGCGGCUAUCUGGACGACAACUGACGCUGAGGCGCGAAAGCGUGGGGAUCAAACAGG
rnacentral:rRNA from 1 species